rnacentral:rRNA from 1 species
UCCAGACUCCUACGGGAGGCAGCAGUCGGGAAUAUUGCGCAAUGGAGGAAACUCUGACGCAGUGACGCCGCGUAUAGGAAGAAGGUUUUCGGAUUGUAAACUAUUGUCGUUAGGGAAGAUACAAGACAGUACCUAAGGAGGAAGCCCCGGCUAACUACGUGCCAGCAGCCGCGGUAAUACGUAGGGGGCAAGCGUUAUCCGGAUUUACUGGGUGUAAAGGGUGCGUAGGUGGCAUGGCAAGUCAGAAGUGAAAGCCCGGGGCUCAACCCCGCGGACUGCUCUUGAAACUGUCAGGCUGGAGUACAGGAGAGGUAAGCGGAAUUCCUAGUGUAGCGGUGAAAUGCGUAGAUAUUAGGAGGAACACCAGUGGCGAAGGCGGCUUACUGGACUGUAACUGACACUGAGGCACGAAAGCGUGGGGAGCAAACAGGAUUAGAUACCCCAGUA